AACGCUAGCUACAGGCUUAACACAUGCAAGUCGAGGGGUAACGGGGGCGCUUGCGCCCGCCGACGACCGGCGAAUGGGUGAGUAACGCGUAUCCAACCUGCCUCACGCCCGGGGAUAGCCCUUAGAAAUGAGGAUUAAAACCCGAUACGUCUCGCUUCCGCAUGGCGGCGCGAUGAAACGAGGCAAGAGAUGGGGAUGCGUAGGAUUAGGUUGUUGGCGGGGUAGAGGCCCACCAAGCCGUCGAUCCUUAGGGGUUCUGAGAGGAAGGUCCCCCACACUGGAACUGAGACACGGUCCAGACUCCUACGGGAGGCAGCAGUGAGGAAUAUUGGUCAAUGGGCGAGAGCCUGAACCAGCCAAGUAGCGUGAGGGAUGACUGCCCUAUGGGUUGUAAACCUCUUUUAUACGGGAAUAAAGUGCGGCACGUGUGCCGCUUUGCAUGUACCGUAAGAAUAAGCAUCGGCUAAUUCCGUGCCAGCAGCCGCGGUAAUACGGAAGAUGCGAGCGUUAUCCGGAUUUAUUGGGUUUAAAGGGAGCGUAGGCGGAAGAUUAAGUCAGCCGUGAAAUCCCGUCGCUUAACGACGGAACUGCGGUUGAUACUGGUUUUCUUGAGUGCACAUAAGGAAGGUGGAAUUUGUGGUGUAGCGGUGAAAUGCUUAGAUAUCACGAAGAACUCCGAUUG
rnacentral:rRNA from 1 species